GAGGAUACAGGGUACCGGGCAGCCAAUGUGAUCAAGAUGGAUAUUCUGCUGAACAGGAAACCUGUGGAGGAACUCGCCCCUGUUGUUCACAAAGAGAUUGGGCGUACAGUGCAGGCAAUGCCAUGUCCGAGCACCUGCAUGACGCCAGAACCGGACUAAUGUUUGAGAUCACAGUACAAACAGCCAUCGGUAGCAAAGGGAGACGAAAGUGAACAUUUUCUUAAUGACCCUGAAAUAAGACUCAUACGACCAAGUUGGUAGCUUUCGCUCUCUCUCGCAGGAUUACGAGAAAAAUGUGCAUGCAAAAUGUCACAGAGAUGAUAACCAGAAAGAUGACGCGCCUGAAGAACCAGGCAGAGUGUAAAAAGAAGAUGCGGUAUGUUGGCACGCGCAAGUCCCCAAAAGAUGUCUUCCUCAGUGUUCUGAAGAGGAAAGACAAGUAGAAUAUCAGUAUCCUUAUUUAUUGAAGCAAGUUUUUCUUCAACAAAUAGACUUUAA